rnacentral:tRNA from 1 species
GGCGCUGUGGCGCAGUGGUUAGCGCUCUGCACUGGAGCGCUGGCAUCUCAUAUGGGCACGGGUUCAAGUCCUGGCUGCUCCA